GCACAAGCGGUGGAGCAUGUGGUUUAAUUCGACGCAACGCGAAGAACCUUACCUGGGCUCGAAAUGUAGUGGAAUCCGGUGGAAACAUCGGCGCCCAGCAAUGGGCCGCUAUAUAGGUGCUGCAUGGCUGUCGUCAGCUCGUGUCGUGAGAUGUUGGGUUAAGUCCCGCAACGAGCGCAACCCUUAUCUUCAGUUGCUACCAUUUAGUUGAGCACUCUGACGAAACCGCCUCGGAUAACGGGGAGGAAGGUGGGGAUGACGUCAAGUCCUCAUGGCCUUUAUGUCCAGGGCUACACACGUGCUACAAUGGCCGGUACAAACCGCUGCAAACCCGCGAGGGGGAGCUAAUCGGAAAAAGCCGGCCUCAGUUCGGAUUGGAGUCUGCAACUCGACUCCAUGAAGCUGGAAUCGCUAGUAAUCGUGGAUCAGCAUGCCACGGUGAAUACGUUCCCGGGC
rnacentral:rRNA from 1 species